AUUGAACGCUGGCGGAAUGCUUUACACAUGCAAGUCGAACGGCAGCACGGGGGCAACCCUGGUGGCGAGUGGCGAACGGGUGAGUAAUACAUCGGAACGUGCCCAGUCGUGGGGGAUAACGCAGCGAAAGCUGUGCUAAUACCGCAUACGAUCUACGGAUGAAAGCGGGGGAUCGCAAGACCUCGCGCGAUUGGAGCGGCCGAUGGCAGAUUAGGUAGUUGGUGGGGUAAAGGCCUACCAAGCCAUCGAUCUGUAGCUGGUCUGAGAGGACGACCAGCCACACUGGGACUGAGACACGGCCCAGACUCCUACGGGAGGCAGCAGUGGGGAAUUUUGGACAAUGGGCGCAAGCCUGAUCCAGCCAUUCCGCGUGCAGGAUGAAGGCCUUCGGGUUGUAAACUGCUUUUGUACGGAACGAAAAGGCUCUCUCUAAUACAGGGGGCUCAUGACGGUACCGUAAGAAUAAGCACCGGCUAACUACGUGCCAGCAGCCGCCGUAA
rnacentral:rRNA from 1 species